AACGCACCUUGCACCCUUUGGCAUUCCGAAGGGUAUGCUCGUUUGAGUGUCAUUGUACUCUCACACUCCCGGUCUUUGGAUUGGGAGCGGUGGACUUGGGUGUUGCUGCUUGACCGUGGCUCACCUCAAAUGGAUUCGUGCACCUCCUGGUUGGACAUAGUACGGCGUGAUAAGUGUCUUCGCCGGCACCUCAGUAGAGGGUGGCCGAUCGGGAGCUCUGUGCUUCAAACCGUCUUCGGACAACAAUUGACAACUUGACCUCAAAUCGAGUAGGACUACCCGCUGAACUUAA
rnacentral:misc_RNA from 1 species